rnacentral:tRNA from 1 species
UCCCUGGUGGUUCAGUGGUCAGGACUCCAUGCUUUUACUACCAAAGAGCUCAGGUUCAAUCUCUGAUCAGGGAA